rnacentral:rRNA from 1 species
ACUCCUACGGGAGGCAGCAGUGGGGAAUAUUGGACAAUGGGGGAAACCCUGAUCCAGCCAUGCCGCGUGUGUGAAGAAGGCCUUCGGGUUGUAAAGACACUUUCAGUGGGGAGGAAAGGUUGUUGGUUAAUACCUAACAGACUGUGACCGUUACCCACAGAAGAAGCACCGGCUAACUCCGUGCCAAGCAGCCGCGGUAAUACGGAGGGUGCAAGCGUUAAUCGGAAUUACUGGGCGUAAAGCGUGCGCAGGCGGUCUGUU